AUGUGGUUCGCCCACAAAGGAAUCAUCUUGACCAAAGAUAAUCUGAUGAAAAGGAAUUGGGUUGGUAACCCCAGGUGUUGUUUUGAUCAAAACGGAACAAGUAAACACCUCUUUCUCGAGUGUCCACUUGCAAAAUUGUUAUGGCGAUCUAGUUAUGGACUGUGCUAA
rnacentral:rRNA from 1 species